CAAUAGCGUAUAUUUAAGUUGUUGCAGUUAAAAAGCUCGUAGUUGGAUUUCGGAUGGGAUUUGCCGGUCCGUCGUUACGAUGUGCACUGGCCAGUCCUAUCUUGUUGUCGGGGACUAGCUCCUUGGAUUCACUUCCUGGGACUAGGAGCUGACGAGGUUACUUUGAGUAAAUUAGAGUGUUCAAAGCAAGCCUACGCUCUGAAUACAUUAGCAUGGAAUAACACGAUAGGACUCUGGCUUAUCUUGUUGGUCUGUGAGACCAGAGUAAUGAUUAAGAGGGACAGUCGGGGACAUUCGUAUUUCAUUGUCAGAGGUGAAAUUCUUAGAUUUAUGGAAGACGAACAUCUGCGAAAGCAUUUGCCAAGGAUGUUUUCAUUGA
rnacentral:rRNA from 1 species